rnacentral:tRNA from 1 species
UCCCAAGGCUCAGUAGGGAGAGCAUGAGACUCUUAAUCUCAGGGUCAUGGGUUCAAGCCCCAUGUUGGGCA